AGGAGGGGCAGGGGCCGGGCAGCUGAGCCUGGGAGGGGCCGGCAGCCUCAAGAGGAGAGAAGGGCCCUAUCCACUGCCCUUGCUUUUGUGGAGAAAGGCCAUUCCCAACCAAGUGCUCUCUCACAGCCCUGCAAGUCUCUAAAAAGGAAACUAGGGACAUUCUGGAAGAUACUCAAAGAAACCUUUUAUCUUUCUCUUUGCUCUUCACUCACUCUUUUGUCCUCUCUCCUCUUCACGGACAGGGGAGGGACCAUCUGAUGAGACCGAGAAAAACAAAGGCCAAGGUGGAAACUCUAUUCCAGCUUCCUGACCUGUGACUGAGUGGGCUUGCCUGGGCUUCCAAAUCAUCUCUCUAGUCCCCCUGCUCCAUUAUUCACUCACCCUUGGGGUAAGUGCUUCCCAGCCCAUGCCACCCCCAACCAAACCCACACCUCCACACCUCGGAGUGAGUGUGCAGCCGCCCCAACUUCCCCCGCUGGAGCAGGCAGGUGGAUUUCAGGACACUAAGCAGCUCUCAGCACUCAGGAGACCACUUCAGCCUUUUGCUGAGAAAAGCAGGCUCUCAUGUUCCUUGGAAGAUUAGCUCUACAAGUUGUCCCUGACAAGAGUUUUAUGGUCAGGGUUUGAGUGGGCCCAGAAUACGCCGGAACCAAGAAGAGCUAUCUUUUACUCUUCUUCACAUAUUGGAGAAGGAUGAAACAGUAUUUCAUCUUGGCCCUGGGGAGGUUUGAAGCCUAGACACAAAGCGGAACAGAGGGAAAGAAAGACACCAGCUCCCAUGCAGAAGUCCCCUCCCUUGGGCCAACCACAUGAAACUGAGAGAUGGGUCUAGAUAAGUAGGACCCGGCUGGGUCCUUUUUCUGCAGAGUCCCCAGGUGAACAAUCAAAUAGAGCUAAAAAUUUUUCUGCCUUGGGCCGAAAUGGAGAAAAUGAAACCUUGAGGAGCUUGCUUUUAACCAUGGCAGUAGCUACACCCCUGUUUCCUCUGCAAGAACCUAAGUUUAUGAGGCUCACUUUAGAAGUUCUGACUUUGGAGUCAGGUAGAUAGGACAUAAUCCCAGCUCACCCUCUAACUAGCAGGGUAACCUUGGGCAGAGCGCAUGGCCCAUCAGAGUUUUAGUUUUAUCAUCUAUAAAAUGGGUUAUUGGGGCCAGGCCAGUGGUGCAGCGGUUAAAAUUUGCACGUUCCGCUUCAGCGGCCAGGGGUUCACCAGUUUGGAUCCCUGGUGCGGACAUGGCACCUCUUGGCAAGCCAUGCUGUGGUAGGCGUCCCACAUAUAAAGUAGAAGAAAAUGGGCACGGAUGUUAGCUCAGGGCCAAUCUUCCUCAGCAAAAAGAGGAGGAUUGGCAGCAGUUAGUUCAGGGCUAAUCUUCCUCAAAAAUAAAUAAAUAAAUAUAAAUAAAUAAAUAAAAUGGGUUAUUGCAGGAAACAACCUAA
rnacentral:lncRNA from 1 species